rnacentral:rRNA from 1 species
CGAUCCAGCCAUGCCGCGUGUGUGAAGAAGGCCUUCGGGUUGUAAAGCACUUUUGUACGGGAAGAAAAGCUUUCGGUUAAUACCCGGAAGUCCUGACGGUACCGUAAGAAUAAGCACCGGCUAACUUCGUGCCAGCAGCCGCGGUAAUACGAAGGGUGCAAGCGUUACUCGGAAUUACUGGGCGUAAAGCGUGCGUAGGUGGUUUGUUAAGUCUGAUGUGAAAGCCCUGGGCUCAACCUGGGAAUGGCAUUGGAUACUGGCAGUCUAGAGUGCGGUAGAGGGUAGCGGAAUUCCCGGUGUAGCAGUGAAAUGCGUAGAUAUCGGGAGGAACAUCCGUGGCGAAGGCGGCUACCUGGACCAGCACUGACACUGAGGCACGAAAGCGUGGGGAGCAAACAGGAUUAGAUACCCUGGUAGUCCACGCCCUAAACGAUGCGAACUGGAUGUUGGGGACACUUAGGUCCUCAGUAUCGAAGCUAACGCGUUAAGUUCGCCGCCUGGGAAGUACGGUCGCAAGACUG